GCGAGCAAUGGGCGAGCGGCCGGCGUAAUACGUGGGGUGCGAGGGGUGGCCGGAAUUAUUUGGCGUAAAGGGCUUGUAGUCGGUUUGUCGCGUCUGCUGUGAAAAUCCGGGGCUCAACCCCGGACUUGCAGUGGGUACGGGCAGACUAGAGUAUGGUAGGGGAGACUGGAAUUCCUGGUGUAGCGGUGAAAUGCGCAGAUACCAGGAGGAACACCGAUGGCGAAGGCAGGUCUCUGGGCCACUACUGACGCUGAGAAGCGAAAGCAUGGGGAGCGAACAGGAUUAGAUACCCGAGUAGUC
rnacentral:rRNA from 1 species